CAGCAGUGUGUCCUUGUGCAUUAGAAGAUAACUCUGUGCUGAGCCAAGGGCAUGCUGGACAUUAAUGAUUCUUCCUCAUUGUUCAGUUAUUGUGAGAGCAUUAUCUGGAGAACUCUGUGAAGUGUUAGUUCCCCAGUACAAGAAAGUCAUUGACAUGCUGGAGCAAGCUGGUGCAAGGAAGAUGGUCAAACAGAGGAAAACUCACCCAGGAAGGAGGCUCUGCCCUUCAAGAUAUUCAGUACACAAUUGGGCAAAGAUCUGAAGUAACUAUGAAGAAAAAUCCUGUGCAGACAGGAGGGCUUAUGCUUAAGACCAUUGGAUGCUGCACUGGAUUUCAAGAUUCUCCUCUUCAAGAUCACCUACUUUGCACAGCCUUAUUCUGUAAAAAGAAAAAGAGAGCAAGAGACAGAGAGGAAUGUGCCCAGGACUCUGUGGUACCCAGGUCAGACAAGCCCAAAAAUCUCUUCCCGGGCUCUGCUCCAAUGAAUAUUUAAUCAUUCUAUGCAGAGUGUGAAAGAUGGCACGAGAAAGAUUUAGGCUUCCAGCCUAGAAAAAUCUGGCACCUUCUUAUAAUGUGGUAAAUACUGGGCAAUGAAAGGCUUUGAAGCCAGGUCUCCUCUCUCCCAGAGGUGUGUUUCAAUUGCAAGGCUCCUGAAGAAAAGCAGAGUUCCUCUUCUUUGCCUUCGUCAUCCUGUAGAGAGAAAAUAAAGAGGCUAAGUUUGCCUCACUGGAGCCAGAGAACAAGCUAAGUGUUCUUCUGUCUAUCCUGUGAAUCCUGAUGGGAUUUUAGCUAGAACUGAAAAUCCCCAGAGUUCAGGCUCUCGGGAUAUGUGCUGAGCAAAAUAUUACGGUGCUUAUGGUGCUUAAGUCACAGCUUACAGUGACUAAAGACUUAACCUGUGGAAACUUUGGAGUACUUUGAUAUGAUAUUUGCUAACUGUAUCAACUCUGUUGUUUGGAGGAAAUACCUUUUUGUACACUCCCAGUGGAACACUAACAAACUUUGAUCCUUCUGCAACUUUCUGUUUAUGGCAUAUUCAGGUUCCACAAGUUAAUAUUCAUAAGAUAUGUUUUCUAAGAAAGGUUUAAUAGCUUACUGUAAUGUCAAAAUUCUUCUAAAAGGAUAUCAGUAAUGGUACCAUCUGUAAGCUGUUCCAUGUAUAUCCAACAAAGGAAAACAGUGUGAGAGGACUGGAAUGUCUCAAAAAUAAGAAGAAAAGAUCUACUAACUGUCAACAACUAUUUAAAGACUACUUCUGCAUGGACCAUUUGUAGAACCAUUAGAGCAGAUUUGUCACUUAACUCCGUAUCAGAAGAGCUGCCUAACAUGACUCCUUGUAGUUGAGGUUUUGCUCCUGUAAGGCUUCGCUUUGGAUUGCUCAAAAAUCAUGCAAACACAGUAUGACUGGAUUCAACAGGGAAAAAACAAAACACCUAAAUGUACAGUCUCAAAAGGGGAAAGGAAAAUCACAUCUGAUUUUUCCUUCAGUACUUCUACACAGAAUUUUUCUUCAAACUGCACUUUUACUUUUGUUCAGAACAGUGAUAUUUCUGUGCUAAUGUUUACAGUUGUAUUUAUUAGCUUUGUUUAUUUUUCUUUAAGUUAAUUCUGAUGGAUAUAAUCAUAAAUUUUUCAAACACUGUGCUAUUAAAUGCAACUCCAGUGAAAAAACAAAAAGCAGAAGAGAAACCUAUGUAGUUUUCAUCCUUUCUUACAGAUUUCUCUUUAAGGAUCUCUGUACUUGAAAUAUUUGUAGUAGUUGAAAAAAAAUAACUAAGGAAAAAGAAGUUGCUUUAUCUUGUUGCUUUUUCAAACAUUUAUUUUCCUUGAUAAGUCCAUUAAUAGGGUCAUCUACCUUCUUUGCAUUCUAUUUAGAUCACACAUGAAAAAAUCAGUAACAAAUUACACUUGUUUUGAAAUGAGGCUAUUUUGUCAUUGUUUAGCUGCAGAGGGUAGCUUUGUUGUUGUUGUUUUGUUUGUAUGUUUUAAAAAGAUUUCUAUGAAGAUCUCUUCUGUGUAUUUGUAUGUCAUGUAAGUCUCCACUGAAGAUCAUUAAAAAUGUUAUUUUCAGUUUUGACACCAAUGCAAAACUUAAUUUCAUCAAGAUAUCUCUAAUAAUUAUGUUCAAAUGUAUCCCGAAGUUUAGCAGCUGUUUCCAUAGACUCAUACUUUGCUCUUAUUCUAUUUAGAUGACUUUGAUAGAAAGAUCUGAGAGGUUUGUUUAAAUGAACAUUCUAUGAGUUGUGUUGAGUUAAAAGCAUUAACAUGAUGAAUACCUCUUUCCCCCUCUGCAUGACUUCUCAUUUCAUAAGAAAAAAAGUUUUCUAUCUCCACACAGUAGAGAUGCAUCAGAUACUGAUAUGAGACUUGUUUGUCUGAGCACAGGAAAUAUAAGGUUUUUAGAGAUGUUUUGACACCUCUGCAUCUUGUUUUCGAUUUGGACCUGUAGACAUAGUUUGCCACCUUGUGGCAAAAAUGCUUUUCAGAACUGCAGUGAAUAGAACUACUUCUAUAAGUCCUAUCUGAUUGGAAUUGUUGUCUCUAACAUAGGACCAUAGGGAAGACAAGUGUCUUUAAAACAUGGACUAUCUUGUCUAGGAACCAAAAUACAAUUUUAUUUUUAAAGGAAUGUCUCAAUUUAACUAGCUGAUAUAUUCUGCUAAUAUCUGUAGCCAAGACAAAAGCAUUUAAAAAUUCUUCACAAUAACCUUGGAAGUCAUAUAGUUAAUGCAGGCUAUUGAAAGCUAGGUAACUAAGGCAAAAUCUUUCAUGUAUAGAGAUGCAAUCUUAUUAAGGGAGAAGAUUAUUUUUAAUUUUUUUUAUUUCUUAAAGACAGCGGUUACGAAGACCAAGGUAUUAUAAACAGCUAACGUUUCAGUUUGGUGCUGAAAUCAUAAAUAAACACUGGAAAACUGGAUUGGAUCAACGAGAUCAAAAAAUAUUACAGAAUUAUUUUGUGUUCUUUACCAGAUAUAUUUUAAGCAAAAACAAUAGCUUGCGUAGAAUUCCAUGUGUUCAACAAAAAAUGUAGCAGUAAAAGUCCUUUCUAUCUAACUCAGAACUAUAACUACAGUCAACAUGUGCAUCUAAUUGUUAGGCAAUAGAAUCUACUUCCGUUUUUUGGGACAUUCACUAUAAGGCCUAUAAGCAAGGGUUCUGAGCAAAAAUCUGAAUUGUGCUGAAUUGUGAACUGGAAAAAAAGAGCCUCUAAAUUUCAAUCUAUCAGAGAAGUGCUUUAGAAAGGAAGUGUACAUAUGGGUCACUCUGAAAGAAACGCUUCACAUUCAUUUCCAUGGAAAUUACAACAGAUAUGAAGAGCACAAUAAUAUUUUUUGAAAGAGCAACUUCUCAUUUACAAAACAAUAUUUUUCAAUGGUCACCACCGUUAGCCAUGUAUUUUCACCAGCAAUGAACAAGCGUGCAUGCUGCACUCCUAAAAAUUUGCACUAUCUGAGGUGACCCACUGUUCUUGUUGCCACCCAUUGCCUCACUGUGCUGAUGUCCACAGUUUGAUCUCCAUAAAUGUUUAACAAUCGUUCCUGAAUGUCAGUGGGUGCAAUUCCUCCUGUGUGGAGGAAUUUGAUGACACACAUUUCCCUCAUACUUACUUCCAUGUCAGACACCAUUUUGUCACACUGCCCUCUGCUGCCACCUGUUACAAGGCAACAAAAUGUAAUGGGAUAUUUGCGGGAAGGUUCAACAUCUACUGCUGUACCACCAACAUUCACCUUUGAUGUUAUGGUCCAACAUAAUAAAAUAGGAGCCCUGACUUUUGGAGCACCUCAUGUACCUCUACAUUAUUUUACUUAAUUUCUCCAUAGCAUCCAUGUACGUCUACAUUAUUUCACUUAAUUGUUCCAUAGCAUCUCUUCUUUCCCCCAGUUUUUGAUCUUCCUACUGAUAUUUCCUUCCAUCAAAGCAGUUACCUGAAAUGCUUUUCUGUUAAUUAACUAGUAAUUAGUAAGAAAGAAAAGCUAUUCUUAAUUGGAUCAGACAGUUUGUAGUUUAUUUCAAAGGAUCAACAGGCUAAGUUAGCUUAUGGAAGUGCAGGAUUUGCUCAGGUUGAAUUGAAAUUGGCAGCCUAAGGAAGUGGUGGAGUCACUGUCCCUGGAGAUCUUCAAGAAACAUGGAGUUGUGACACUGAGGGACAUGGCUUAGUGGGCAUGGUGGUGAUGGGCUGACAGUUGGACAAGAUGGUCUUUGUAGUAUUUUAUAAACUUAAUUAUUCUAAUAACUCAAGUUUCAGUUUGACUUGUCUUAUAUUUUUUUAAUGUAAAUUCAGUUUUGUCUAGAACUCUUUUCUUCUUCCAAAAAAGUGGCCCAAAAGAUUGCAUCCAGAUAGUCUUUUGUUGUGUAUAAGUUUUAUUGCUUUUGCACUGAGGUUCUGAGGCAUAAGGUAGAUGUGAAAGAAAAAUUACUCUCACUUAGGUUGAUUUUAAUUUCCAAUACGUUCUUACUGUCCUAAUAGAUUAGUUACUUAACACCAGCUACAGAAAAGAAUAACCAACUCUUUUUUGUAUACAGCUAUUCACACAAAAAGAAGAGCAAUACUUUACAGGAAAUGAUUUUUCCAAUCUGCAAAUGUUGUGUUUUCCAUCAAGAUUUUACUUUUAAACUGUAGAAGAGUUUAUAAACUAUACAAAAAAUAAAGAGCAAUUAGUGUAGUUACUCUGAUGUGGAAAAGUUCUGUGACUAAUCGUCAAGUCCUUCUGUGGCAUGUAAGUACAUUUUCAGAUAUAAAACAUGGUUCUCAGGAUGACUUUUUCUCCAUGUAGUAAGGAAAGUUUCUCUGCCUGUUUGGAAUUGAAAAAUGAAAUCAGACCACACAGUUAUUUCUCAAAGAGAUAGAUCUUCCAGUCUUGCUCUUAUGAAUGGGUCUUUCCUGUCUUCUCACCCUUUCUGUUUGAAGAUAUAUAUCAUUUACACGGCUUAUUUUCGACUUGUAGAUUGAAACUAUAUUAACAUAUUAUCCUGUUUAAUCUUGCUUUAUAGGCUGACGUUGCUAUGCCUAUAUUUAUUUGUGGUUUUCCUGCUUUAGAAUGCAGAUACAAGCCCCCCUUUACACUCUGAUUAACAAUUAAUGCAAUCCAAAAUGAGAGGAAACUAGAUGGCUUUAGUCAACUUCAUCUCUCCUUAUCUAUAUGCUGGACCAUAUGCUGGAUUUAUCUUACCUGAUAAGAUUGAAGAAACCUUAAGAUUUUUUUCACUUGCUGCAGCCAUUUUGAGAAUCAGGAAUAAGAAAAGCAAAUGGUUAACCCAGGAUUUGUCAUUUUUCUCUAUUCAAAAUGUAAGAAGCAUUCUAUUUUUUUAACACUAAUAAUAUUGAAAAUCAAUUCAGAGCAGAUUGAUUCCUUUCCUCCCUUUGGUUCCAGGAAUCUUUUUGUUCCUUAGUGUCCCUUGUGUUUGGCUGUCAUUCAGAGAACAGAAAACUUGAUUUUUAUUAUAAGAACAGAAUGCUUCAGGCUUAGGAGCUUCCUGACGUGUGAAUUAAAUGGAUUUAAUUUAAUCAGCAGAUCAGUCAGUCAUACACUGACCUACGCUAUUUUUCCUUCUUGAACAUUUAAUGGUAACCAUGCACCUAGGAGCACAAAAUAAUAACUUACUUUUCAGCUCUUAGCAACCAAAAAAAGUCAGCAUAACAUACAGAUGAUAAAUAUUCUAGCACUUGGUAGGCUGCAAUGACUACCAAGCUGUACUUUUAAACAAAUGAGUUGUAGAACAAACUCAAGAUUUUUAUUUCAGGGAGAUGAAAGCUACAUUUUCAUGUAAACCUGACAUCCAGUUCUUUGAAGAAAAGUAGAGAAACACCACUAAAUGUUACGUGCUUUCAGUAAAAUUAUGGAUGCCAUCUAAGUUAAAAGUGCAGUAACUAAUCAUAUUUUUUUUCUCCCUAAGUUACUAGCCUUUAAGCUAAUAUGAAAGAUAUUCAGCUUUUAGUAUGGAUAAAUUAGUCAGUCAUUAGAAGUAGCUGCCUAAUUAGGAAGAAAUGUUCCUAGCAGCUGAAGUAUGAACAGCUGCAGAUAAUGUUACUGCGUACUUUGGGUAGUUUAACCAAUUUAUUCUUCUCUUCAUGAUCUAGCACAGUAUAUAAACUACCUUGAGGAGAAUAACACAUAAUGUAGGUAAGUGUUGUGUAAGUUUGUAUCAUUCAAAAGUUUUGUCUCUAAGCAAAUUAUCUUUGAAAUCUCUAAACAAUAUUGUGUUAAUGAAUUUAAAAUUCAUUCCUUAGCAAUUAUUUGAUUGCCAAACCUAAUUAACAACGAAUAUUCUAGACUGUAUGAAAUGUUCAAAAAAAUAUGGUAUUAACAGUUGUAAGAAUUUGCAUACAUAAGCCUGAAGUUUUUUUCAAAAUCUUUUUCAUUAAAAUUCAUUCUCACUUUUCUAAGAUGCGGUAGAGUCAGUGAAUGCCAGUAGAAGGGGGUACACGUUAAGUUACUUUGGGAGGCAGCCCAAAGACUAUUUUAAACUGUUGUGUUUUUUUUUAAUUAAGGGAAAAAAGAAAAACAUCAUUCUUCUACCAAGCAUUGACUGAGACUUUCAUCUUAAGAGUUAGACUCAAAUCUUCUAUUAAUUUUGUUAAACACUCCUUGUCUGCAUUCCUGAAAUUCCUACGAAUUUUUGCCUUAAGCUAAAUGACAAGUAUUUGAAAACAUUAUCUAUGAUUUCAUGAAGAUUUUUUUUUCUUAGUAAUUUUAGGUCAGAACUCUUCCUACUUUUAACCAUAAAAUGUAGAUUGGGAUCUAGAUAAAUGCACAUAGGUGGCCAUUUUAUCUCUCUAACAAAUCAAACCCAAAACCUCAGGCAUAAGCACCUUUAGGGAGUUCAGAUUCAUGUUUGAUUCCAAAUGCUGUGGCUUACACUCACUUCAACAGGUACAGAAAUGGUAAUCAGAAAUUAGAGGCUUCAUCUCAUGCUGUUUGAAGGGAACCUUCGAGGGAUGUGUCAUCAUCUCUUUCUAUAUUGGGGAAUUAUGGAUGUUAAAAACCACCCAACAAGUAUAUUAAGGCAUUCAUGUUUUCUUCUGUACACAGAGUCCAAUUAAGUUUUCAUGGGUUCAUGCAGGACUUAGUGGGUUUCCUUAUUACAGAAUUUUUCUGGAACCCUUGGGAUGAAAUCAACAGUCUCAUGUAUGUAAAUAAAAUUGCUGUCUUUGGCAUCCGUGUGUGAGGGUUUUGACUUGACUUACUAAAGCAGCAAACCUCAUGAAACUUCUGCUGUUAGUGUGCCCAUCCAUGUGCAUUUCUGAUUUUGCUCUUCCAUUCUCUUCCCAGUGAAACUGAUACUUUAUUAAAAGAAUUCAGCAAGAGAGUAGAAGUACCAAAUAAGUUCCUAUAUCUUUUGUGAAAAUGGACAAGCAGCUUCAGCAAGAGAACAAAUCUACAUGUUUAUGUCUAUUGGAGGAAAAAAGAGGAUGUCCAUGUUCAUGCCUCUCCCCCACAGGCAGAGGUUUUAAGCAGAUACCAGACACAGGGAAAUUUUCAAAAGUUUCGAAAGUCAAUAAAGCAUGAAGCAGAAAUAUAUGGAGCGCAAGCUUUCCUUAUUUCCUGUGGUUGCAGAACUCCUCAUUUAAGUAAUUAGUCUUCAUGACAAUAUACAAAUAGCUUAUAUAAAAAGAAUGCUUCUCCUACGGUCAUUUUUUAUGAGAGAGCAGAUGAAACAACAGUUGGGCAAGAGAUUUCCCUUUAUAAAUUAGCCUAACAACUGCAGGGUCAAUUACCUCUUUUCCUCCCAUACAGCUGUCUGUUCCUAGCUAUGUUCUUGUUGCCUGGAAGGCAUAAGAGUAUGUGAUAGGUACAUUGUUUUAAUUAGCAUUCUUGCAUGAACUUAUAUGUAAUUAAUGUUAGAUUUAGUGCAUGAUGAAGCAGCUUGAAAGCUGUUAGAAGGAAGGCAGCUGGAUGAGAUUUUUGCUUUGAUCUCUUAUAUACCUUGAAUCUACCAGGAAACUGCCUGACUUCCUUCUAAUGUACAUUGCCUUGUGUCUUAAGUACAGCUCAUUGCUUUUCAGUCUCAUUUCCUAAAAGAAGUCCUCACUGAGCAAUACAUGUCCUUGGUCUUGACAUGGAAAAACAAUUAUGAUUAUUUCUAGAAUUUCUGAAACAAGUUCUGUGAGAUAUACUUUUUCAGAAAUGCCUGAACAAUACCUUGGCUUUUCAAUCGUGCUAUGAUUCUACAAUAUCUCAUACUUUGCCCUAGAGUCAUGUAAGAUGUCACUGCUGAAAGAUUUUUUGUGAUGCUAUGUCACUCUGCAGUAUUGUCUUUUCAUCAUGAAAACUUGAAGUCUGCAUAAGCUGAUUUGAAAGAAGAAAUUGAUCUUUUUCCUCAGGGUAUUCACUUAAUAGCACCUCUGAGACAUGGGUUGCAGUUAACUGUCUACGGUGUCAUUUUCACGUGGAUAAACUGUGGGAUAUUUGUAAAUAAAAGCAACCAAAAUACUAUCAUGCAACUUAUUUUCAGUGUGGGUUACUGGAGAGUUAAUUUGCCAGUGAGUCUGUCUAUUAACACAAGUCCUAAAUAUUUAUUCUGGAACAAAAAGCAAGAACAGAAUAAUCCAGGGGAAGAAAAAUAAAUGAGAAUAUUUUUUCCCACAGUGUAUCUGUAAUGGUGGGUUUCAUCCUAGAAUAUCUACAUUAGUAAUCCACAAUGAAUAAAACAUUAGCACCUUUCACCAUAAUAAUGCUUUCCUGAAAGAGUUCCUCAGCAUUCCUUCAAAUCUAUUAGACAAUAAAUUUGUCCUAAAAAAAAAAGAAAAAGAAAAAAAAAGAGAGCAAAAAGGCUUUCCCCUUUAAUAUUUUCUUCCUAUCUUCUAACAAACAAAAGACAGUGCUUUCAUCUGAGCAAUGGGAACUAUUUUAAAGGACAUUAACAGGAUUUUUCUGAAAGCAUGUAUUAUUAUCCCACUACUGGUGCUUUUAGUCUCAUUAUCAACGAGACAAAUCAUUUUUAUUCAACUCUAUUUAUACAUGUGGUUGACCAAGAGAAAAUGUUUUUUAAAAGACUCAAUGAGGUGUUACUUAAAUGUGGUUUUCAGCUUUAAGUGAUUUAUUAUCUAUAAAUUGAAAGAUUAAUUCUAGAAGGCUGUGGGACACUGCACUCUUUCUCCUCAUUGCAAGCUGUGUUUUAGCUAAGAUUACAGCAGGUGAAAGUUCUAAUAUCUGUUCUCCAGGCCUUAUAAAAUAAUAGCAUCCAGGAUCCAUUUGGUUCUCAUUAGAUCCAAGACUGAAGGAGCAUAAUCUUUUGAAGGAAGGAAAUCUCCCUCCCCCAAAUAACACACCACACUCCCACAGAAAUAUCUUAUAGGCAAGUUCUUUCUUCCCUCAAAAUAUGCACAGUAGGCACAGAAACCAAACUUCACGGACCUACCACUGUUCUAAAAUCCCCUGAUGUUUUAAUCUCAUUGGUGCUUUACAAAUUAAUGAUGUGUCUUAUUCUUCUUUUGCCUUCCAGUGUUUUUCCUGCUACUAUAUUUUAUAGCUCUGAAUUUGUGUGGUUUCUGCUUCCUCUUUUUUCUCCAUUAUGUCUCCAACUAUUCCUUUGAGCAGUGCUAUGGCUCUCUGGCAUAUUAGGCUAAAGAAUUAUUGUCACUAGUUUGGGAAGUCACUUCAGAAGAGGCAGGGAGUAAACACUCUCACAUCUAUGAUUCCUGCUUUCAUUUGUUCGCUGUUUUAUGUAGAUUAAGGUAUUCAGAAAUUCUCUUGCUCAGAAAUUCAUCAUAAUUCAGACCUAGGAGAUUCUGUCACAAUUUUCUCAAUAUAGAAGGCAUCAGGGAGCUGGUUCAGAACUUCACUAUUUUCACCCUCCAAAAUUGUAUUUUUCCAUUUCUUUCUCCAGGCCUUCAUAUCUUUUUCUGUGACCACAGAUGUUGUCUUAGUAUGAAAGGAAAAGGAAACUGUUAGCAACUCAGGCUAGGUAUAUAAUUGGCAGCAAAACAUUAUGCUUCUCAAGUCCAGAACUUCUUUUUUCCAUGGUACAUGAGAAGUAUAGACUUUCUGUCAUCACAAUUUAUGUCUGGAAUGGCAGGCUUAGGAAGGCUUUAAAGGUGAGCAGCCUGAGAUUUUCUUUAUUUAUCAGAUAAUUAAUUCAGAAGAAGCCGUGGGAGUUGAAGAAGAAAUUCUACUGAGUAUGUACCUGAGCAUGUUCAGGUGCCAAACUCAGUUCAAUCCAUCCUGCUGGUUCCUAACAAACUUUGAAGCGUCUUUAAAGAUUUCUUGAAGAGUGACAUACGAGAGUUAUUGCAGUGUUCUGGAAUGUGUUCAUCAGAUUAACAUCAAGGACAGAACAUAGGAAUAUCUUUCUUUGAUUAUUAACUCAGUAAUUUUUCAGUGGGCCUAUAAUAUGUAAAAAGGGGGAGCAAGUUUUUUUGCUAGAAUUCCAAGUCAUUACAAUGAUUCUUCCUACAUAAUCACUAUUUUGUUGCUGUAGUUCCAGAGUAGAGGCAUCUCAGAAAUAUCUCAGAUGGUUUUAGUUGCAAACACCCAAGCACAAUUAUAGUGAAUGUAGUGUAAAAGCACAGUUCACAGUAGACUUUGAGAGGUAGGUCAGCCCAGUAUAAAAAAAAAAUUAAAGCCAACAAACUUAUAUACUACCAUCAAAAAAGUAGGUAGCAGCUGUUGAAAAAUGUUAAUAUAUAUCUCAGGGAUAUCAAGGGUGCUGUCCUUCCAUCAAAAAACACAUUAGCAUUUCCAUGGUUGUUUGACUUGUCUGUUUUAAUGACCUAAUAUGGUUUUCUGCUUCUUACGGUGCCUUGACUGUAGUUUUGAGAGAUGAGACAAUCUCCCAUGCUGCAGAGACAGCUGCAGCUAUGCCACAUAAGUAUUUUCAGUCUUACCAGGUUAAGAAAUCUAUCUAUAUAACCUAUUUGACCAGUAUAAUCCUUCAUCUACAAGUUGGAAUCUUUCAUGCUAAAUAAGAGUUUUCCACUUCUUAUUUUAUCCUCUAUUGGUUUAAGUUCCAUUCCUUAAACAGAGGCAAGUGUAGCUGACAGGCUGAGAGAGCUGGGCUUGUUCAGCCUGGAGAAGAGAAGGCUGCAGGAUGACCUCAUUGCAGCCUUCCAGUACCUAAAGGGAGCCUAUAAACAGGAGGGGAGUCAACUCUGAAAGGGUAGAUAACAGCAGGACAAGGGGAAAUGGUUUUAAGUGGAAAGAGGGAAGAUUUAGGUUGGAUUUCAGGGAGAAGUUCUUUACAAUGAGAGUGGUAAGGUUCUAGAACAGUGUCGAUGGUUUAUGGGCUGGUCCGGCCCGGUUCCGUGACUAGUGGGGCGGAGGGAUUUUUUUUUGCAAAAUUUACGCCUCUGGAAAAGGGAAACAGGGAACCCCCCACAAAAAGAAUAAUUAAAAAAAACAACAGUGGCAACGAUCUGAGGAGAAACAAACUAUUUUACUAAAUAUAGUAUCAGAAUGCACAAUAACACACUGUAAUACAAUAUAAUUCAAUAUAAUUGUUAAAAAAAUCAAAUAUAAUUAAGAGAAGGAUUAUCCAAGAGCUAAAGGCCUUACACUAAUACUGAAACCUUGCAUGCAGUUGGGAGCAGCAGCGAGAUGAUUCAAAAGCGAGCACGAUGAGAUGAAAGAAGGCAGAGGACUCAGGUCAGGUGACCUACAGGCCUUAUAUCUGUUCCUCUGAGCAGGAAUGAUAACAGUACUUGAACAGUCUUCUGGGGAACGUAGUUCUUCUUCUCUUCUGGACAAGUACCCGUAACUAGAGCAUUUGCUCUUUAACUCCCAGUACACUGAUGAUGUUAUGAUAUGGAAUACCGAUAACCAAAAAUUAUAAAACCUUGACAAACAGACUGCCCAGAAAGGUUGUGGAUGCCCUGUCCCUGGAGGUGUUCAGGGCCAGGUAGGAUGGGACCCUGGGCAUCCUGGUCUACUAUUAAAUGUGAAGGUUGGUGGCCCUGCCUGUGGUAGGGGGGUUGGAGCUUGAUGACUGUUGAGGUCCAUUCCCACCCAAGCCAUUCUAUGAUUCUAUGUAGUUAAUUAGGACAGAAUGUGCAGGAUCCUGUCAUACAGCCAUCUGCCAUGCAGCUUAAGGGAACUUUUGGGCCAUUCAUUGUUUAUGGAAUGAGGUGAUUGACUCAUAGUCACACUUUUUAAUGCAUGCUUGAUUGACUCUCAGUUGUUGAACCAGGUGUCUACCAUUAGCUCUUUCAGCACUCAGUUUGAGAAAGAUUUGUGGUGGCUAUCUGAGCCAGGCCUGAGUUGUAACCAGCAAUGUACUCAUUAUCUGCCUUAGGUAGGCCGUGUGUUUAACAGUCAGGCUGAAGGAAGAAGCAGAGGGGCAGGGUAAAGCACAAUGUCACAGUGUGGCAUAUCUUUACCCUGAUGGUCCAGGCACAAUCACAUCUGUGAGUCUAGCAUAUUUUCAGUGUCUUGUUGAUACCUUCCCUACAUGGAGCAUUCCCAGACAUUUGUUGUCUAUCUGUACAAUAUUGAACACCAUCAGUCACUGAAUAUACACUUACUGCUAUACUGUGUAAGUAGCAUUUUAUUGAGGUUAAGUUGUCCGGAAAAGGCAUGUCUUGCUAGUGUGCUACUAAGACAUGCAGGAGGAGUUUUAUGUCCAAAAUGAAGAAUAGAUUAUCCACAUGAACAUCUUCAUUUUUCUCCAAAUUUUCAUCAGCAGAGGUUGCUGUCCUUUUCUCUGAAUCCUGGUAUGCUGUUGCUCCUUUUCAGGCUUAGUAGGAGCUUUUAAGCUUGUAUCUUGUAAAACAAGGAAACCUCCAAUAACGUGAAAUGUCGACUCACUAAAACUCUAAGGUUUCAGCCUUACUUGGUGGAAUUAGGUACUUAAAUGGGAACUCAGAGACAGAAGCUUAACAUCUACGUGAAAGGAAUGUUUUUUGCUUAUGUGACACUAUAUGACAACAGAAGAUUUAAGAGAUGUAUGAAUGUGGCACUUAGGGACAUGUUUUAGUGGUAGGCUUGUAUUGUUAAGUGGGCGGUUGGAUGUGAUCUGAUAGUUUUUUUCAACAUAAAUGAUUCUGUGAUUUUAUGAUUCUAAGAGCUAACAGUAAUAGAAAUGAAGUGGUACUGACAAAUAUAGCAUAUAUAUAUUAAGGACAGUCAGAUGGUGAUGAGAGCUAAAUUUAUUAUUAUGAUGAUUAUUAUCAUCAUUUAUUUUCUCCAUGAAAAACCACAAAACCCAAGAGAAAGCUAAUCAGUCAGAAGCUCAAGUGAAGGAUAGCAUCCAGACAUCUGUCAUGAAGGAGCAAAGGGUACUGAUGGACACUUGGAUAAAUAAGCAAAGACUCUUAUAAUCCCCAGCUAACCUGUGAGUUCCACAUGUUCAGUUCUUAUCUGGUUUCACACUGAGUAGAAGGCUUAGCAAGCACAUUACUUGUCCUCAUGACUCUGAAUUUUUAUCAGAUCUGUGAUGAUUUUUUCCAAGAGAUCAACUGAAUCAAGAGAUCCAGGCCCUUCCACAGAUGUGGUCCUCCAAAUAUUUCUGUAAAAUUUCCAUAUGUCUUCCUUUCCAAAACUGUCCAAAUCCAUCCUGUGGAUGGCAUAAGACUUUAAAAACUGAAAGAUAAAUUUACUUCUUAAUUAGGUCAUUGUAUAUUUAUGGUAUCAAGGUAUGUAACUACAACCUCUUGUUUCUACAGACCAUAGUGAUAGCGAAGAAAACUAUUUAAUACUUUGCUCAAAAGGCUAAUUCAAUAAAUAUUUUCCAAACUGGCUACAGACAGGAACAACAGGAACAUCCCUGAUGUCAGACUGGAGACCAGAGAGUAGAGUGAAAGCUGGCAGGAGCACAAGGAGAGUCAGCACCGUGGCUGGGUUAUUUCUUCCUGAGCAAGAUAAGGCCAAAGCCAAAAAGAGAUUCAUGCUGACGUGCAGAGGCAUUUUUUUUUUUCCUGGGAGAGUGACAGGUUCCAAAUUUUUUUUUUUUUUUUCUUUUUGAGUGGAGAUAAAAUCCCAAAUUUUAACACUGCAGUAAAUACCAAUGAAAUUAAAGAAGGUUAUCUUUGAGAGCUUGGAAUGUGUUGCUUAACUUUGCUAUAGUGCUUUGUUUUGUUUCUGAUCUCUAGAACAGAGUAAAAUAUCAUUAACAAACAAAGUUUUGAACCAAAUAAUUAAAGUCUUGGAAAGGACAAGAUGGAUUUAUUGUUUCACAAUAUUAAAAUACUUACAAUUAUCUUUUAUAAGAUAUCCAGUUCUGUGCUAACUAAAUAGCAGUUUUUACAGUCACAGACAAAGGAUUCUUGUCACGUUCUAUCCAGAGAUACAAAAAAAAAGUGUGAGAAGCUUUAACAGUUCUGAUAAAUCCUUCAUUAGAUCCAAAGCCCUGGUUAUUACUGUAAUACUCAGACACAUACAAACUCUUGCAGUACUUUCUGCUAUAAAUAGUUUUUUAAAACGUGAUCUCAAAGACUGAAUAUUGUAAAGGAAAUAAAUUCAUAGCUCCAUAUUUUUUUUAAAAAGUACAUAUUUUUGAUACACUGAAGCCAUACUUUUUGUGAGGUCAGAUAUGGUUUCAUAUAUGACUUGAGGAACAGCCAAGAACUUUACACAAGAGAUCCUCGCGCAAUCACUUCAAGUUCUGCUCUGCUCUUUCAAGCCAGAGUAUUUGUACUUUUUUUUUUUCCUCAGCCUUCCCUUUUUUUCCUCAGCCUUUUCCUCCACAAGUCAAUUCUAAAAUCUGACAGAUGCUGAAGUACAACAAUUAAGAAAGUCACUUGUAGAUAUACUUAAGAUAUGUCCCUGAAGAGCAGUGAGAUGUGUGAAUGCGAAUGUGUAUCUGGUUCAUCCUCCCUUGGUCAUUUUGUCUAAGGAUAGUAUGUAUUUUUCUGGAAUGCACUGCAGGAAUUAGAAAUCUCAAUCAACUCUGAAAUGUAAGCUCUGAGCUCAACCAAAAGUCCUUGGCCUAGUGUAAGUACAACUUAGCAACAACAAAACAUCAGUGUGUUAUCAACAUGGCACAGUACCAUGGUUCUACUAGGAAUAGAAUUAACUAUCCCGGGUGGAAGAAACAAAGACAUCAAGAAACACCAAUGUCCUUUAAAUCAGUAAUAGUCAACACAGAAACAUGUGAAACAUCCUAACGAAUUGUAUGAUGAGCAAUUUAUGGAUAAUUGCAUUUAACAGUGAGACGUUAUUUGCUUAAGAGGUGAUAUGGGAAUUUUAAGUUUCACAAUAAUAAUGAUUAAAAAUAUAUAUAUAUAUUUCUACCACUGUAUUUAUGAACACUAUGAUUUUGAAGGAGGCAGCUAACAAGACAGACAGCAGUGGGCAAUAUUUUGAAGAUCUUAAUUCUUAUAUUCAUUGCAGAACUUUCAGAAAUCCUUUUAAUGCUCAGUGUAUGAUCUUUCUCCUCUCUCUCCUUUUUCUUUUCGUAGGAAAAUGAAGGAAAAAAAAUGAAAAAGAAAAAAAGAAAAAAUGUUUGAAGUAGAAGUUUGAAUUAGGGACUGAUGACAGAUUCAGAACAUAAAAACCUUUUAUGCAGAGGUUAAAUACUAAAGUUAGAAAAAUUCAUCUCAAGGCUGAGUUGCGUAUUGAUGAUCACUUGCCACCCUAUUAGUUCUGGUUAUUUUUGGAACAAAGUCAAACCGAACAUUGUCUGCUUUACUGCAGGAAUGCAGUCUUGCUACCAUCUAGUGGUUAAAAUAAAUCUUUGCACUAAUCCUUCCAUGCUGAAUAUUCAAGUGAUAGAGGCUGUGAGAAGUGCCCAUGUCUGAGUAGAAAAGUAUGACUUCUUAAUUAUGAUGUAUAGUACAAAAGGAAAACUGUAUCUUAGACCUCUACAGAUUUCUAAAGAAAAGCCUGUGCAUCAUUUUACGUUGAUGCUUUCUAACAUAUCUUCAAAGACAGACAUAGUGGCUUACUCUGAUAUGAGUAAUGAGAAUUGAUACCUAAUGGGAAAAAAAAAAGAAGAAGAAGAAGUUAUACUGGAUGUUGGAUGUGAAGAUAGAUAUUGUCUAAAGAUUCUUUACUUCAUCUAGAGUUUAACAGGUAGAUAAGACUAGUUAAAUAAAAAUAGAGGGAAUCACACAGGACGUGACAGUAACAUAAUGGACAGCCAUAAAACGCUGUAAAUAAACAGCUUGAUCACAGUUCAUAGCUCUCUUCACUCUUGUUGCUUCUGCAUAGUCAAAUUCAUUGUCUUUUGGAUGAGAAAAUACAUUUGUUUCUUAUUCCUAGGUAGGUGAUGUCUUGUGGAUUUUUACUAAAAGCUACAACACUGGUUCAGCCUACAACACUGGUUCAGCCAUCCAGUCACAGGCCUACAAAUAUAGCUGAUAAUAGAAUAAAAAUUGAACUCAGGAAUGCUGAAUGAUUUGGAACUUCUGGUAAUGGAGAGGAGUCCAGUUAUUAUGAACCUUUUUUUUUUUUUUUCUUUUUUUUUUUUUUGUUUGCUUCCCUUAGUUAAUCUACGCAUAUUGAAAACAAGGCAUAGUAUUAUUAUUUUUGAGACAUCUCUGGAAUGUGGAAAAUAUUAUUAACUUAUUAAUUUGAUAUAAUUCAAAAUAGUAUGUUUGCAGUAUUUCAAGGUCAUGCUCGGGAUCAGCACCUCACUGCAGCUUUCCUUGUGUUAAUAGUGAGGGACUAGAAACUUUCCUAAGUGACUUUUCUAAGCAAGUCAGAAUAAACCUGGCAAUAGUUAAAAUUAUUUGUUUUUAUCGGCAGGGAAAUCAAGGCACAUAAUAUUUUUCAAGAAUUCUGAUUCAGUUCAGCAUAGAGAAUAAUACUGGCAAUUUCCACAGCCUUGUCCUCACCACAGGCUCAGACAGUAAUCUAUAGUUGAUUUCAAAAUUGCUUUCUUGUGUUAGUAAAGGCUUUUAGGUUAAAGCCUUAUUUUUUCAAUGCCAAAAUAUUUAUUUCAAAAGUAUUUCUACAGUCUCUUUGGAUUCCUCAAUAUUAAAAGUGUUAGUGCUUAUUUUCUUAUGUAUUCCAUACAAUGAAGCCUUUGCUUCUUUUCUUAGUCUUAGGAAAAAAAGUCCAUCCUAAAGGUUAUAUCUAACUGGAAGAAAAUACUGUAAAUAAAAGAAAAGGUAAAUUAAUAAAUACCACCAGAAUAGGUGAAGGAGAAGUAAAUGCAAAUCAAAAACAGACAUAGACUGAGGAGUGCUCUUGAAAAGUUUGGAAAUUAAAGUGUUUUCCUUGCCAAGUUUUAAAUGUUUGACCUUAUGCAAGUGUUGCUUUCAGCUCACAAGAACUGAACAGACUAGAAAUUUCAAUUAAAAUGUGAACGUGAAAGUAAGAGCCAUCACAUCUGUAGCUUUUGGCAGGCUAAAAUGUACAACCUGCACAUGUUCAGUCUCCCUACAGCCUCUUCUACUGCUGAGCCAGUAUCUGAGGCAAUGUCAAUUGUAUGAAGUCAUAAAGCAAGAGUCCUUGUGGAAUUGUACUUGUUCCAGGGAAUGUACUGAACAGCACAGUUCCUGGCUUAUCAUUUUGAACUAGAAAGCUCACAUCAUGUCUGCAGGCUCAGGGCUUCUCCUGCCUUAUAACCCCAGCAUGUUCAAUGUGUUUUCAUGAACUUGAGGACAGAUGGAUAAACAGUAGUCAACAUGUAUCUAGCUACUCAGUGAACAGAAAUGUUAGCUUCAUCAAGAAGCUGAUAGAAGCUGAUUUUUUGCAGGACUAUGCCAAAGCUGAAGGGUUUCAGGCUCAAUAUUGUUUCACUCAUGUAUUAUAGAAGAAUAAGCAUUUCCAAAAACAAUUCUCCAAACUAAGAAACACUAAGGCAAUUUGGUAAUCCAUUGCAUAGAAGCUGCUUUGAGAAAGGGAUUACAAAGUUGGAUCCAGAAGCCUUAGCAAGGACAUGAUUUUUCAGUGAAAGUCUUCAUAUUCUGGUUCCCAAGGGUCAAGCUACAAGAUAGACUGUAUAACAGUGAACAGAUCACUGUUAGGCCAGCUAUCACAGGUCAAUAACCAACAAGAAGUUUGGUGGAGAAUUUGGGGUAAUAAUUAUAGAAAGCUUUUGUGGACUGGAUCUCUAUUUUAAUCUGUGCCUUCUCCUGAUGAUAGGAUCAAGUUCAAUUUCAUCAUCUGUAACAGAUGCUUGUGUUGAAUUUCAUAGAAGUUUCUGUGAUAGAAUUUGCAGUCUCUUCAGAAAAUUUUUUCUAGUGCUUUGCAUUUCAAGUCUUUUCUGUAGUCCAGUCACAGUUAUUAUGUCAGUAUUAACAGAGAAAGAAGAGCUUCCCAUUUUUCCUUUUUUAAAAUUAUUUCUGCACAUAUUUAUUUAAUGUUUGAAUGUUAGUAAGUCACCCUGUAGUUUUCUCUUUGUUCACUGAGCAACCCUAAUUAAAUAUGUGACCACAAUAGGAAAAAACAAAAGUCAAUUUUCUUUGUAUAAUCAAGGUCUAAGGGCAUACUGAGAUACCAAAUUGAUCUGAAUGUUUUUAUUUCUGAAGAGGGGCAUUUGUAGAUUGUUACAAAUACAAAACUAGGUCACUGGCUGUCAUAGUUCUAGUGAAACCAGGUUCAGCAAUUUUGUGUUACUUUCUGAUAGAAAUCUGCAAAUCUCUGUAGAGUUGCUUAUUCCCACAAUAAAACCACAAUAAGCACUGCAAUAACAAAAGACAUGUUUGUGCACAUGCACAUAUAUAUAUAUGUAUAUAUGUAUAUAUUAAUGAAAAGAAAUGGAAAAAUUCCGAGAUAAACUUAAGUGAACAUGAAUGGAUGUAAUUCAUAUCUUUCCAUCUUAACAACCCUGCAUUAUCAGGAGUUUAUACCUCAUCUACUAUAAGCAGAGUCACAUGAAUGUGUAAAUUUGACUGUGACUACACUUUUUGUAGAUCUUCUCUUCCUAUGCUUAUUUUGGACUUACCAGAGAAUGACUGUCUUGUUUCACGUUGUGUUCUGCCUCUGUCAUGAGUUUUAGAUCUCACUUUCAUCUGAAAACUCAAAAUACUCUCUCACAGCAUCCCAUAGAAACCCAUCCUUUUGGGAUGCUGCUGUUGCAGAAAUCUCAGAGUUUACUGAAACCAACUACAUACACUACAGAAGUCAUGAAGUAUGUCUUCACUUCAUCUCUGAGCACAUCUGAUACCAUGACCCUGGCCCACCAAUGAACUUCCAUGUCAGCCACUUUCUUUUUCCAAAGUCUGAAUCCAAAGGCAUGUAGGACUGGCUUCUCUGUUCAGUGGUCAUGCAUGAGAAGCAAAGAGUUCAAAACAGACUAAAUAACCUUCCUUUACUUUGUCAGUGACACUAUCCUGCAGAAGUGGGGUGCUUUAUCUGAGUCUCAACAGAAAAUACUUCACCGAAUUUGUAUAUCUUUGUUACCACAUGGAUGGUGCUGUUGCACCACUGCAAUGCUUGUCUUCCUUCAAAUUGUUCUGGCUGCUCCUGCUACAUUAAUACAAGGUCUUUUAAAAUAAAAACACUGACAGAUGGCAUUUCUUUUAUUAAUCCUCCAUUGUAGUUCUCUUUUAAUUAUAGUAGCAUAUCAUGGUUCUAGACAUGAACAGAAUCUUAAUAAAGUGAUAAAGUUGUCUGAAUCUUUUAUUGACAGCUUGUCUCUUGCAUUGCCAGAGAAAUUUUUUUUAGUCUUACCUAAAUUAUGGGGAUAGAGAAGAAAACAAACCAGGCUUUCUCCUUCCAAAAGUUACAAUAGAAGUGUCACUGAAGUAAUAUAAUGAUUAUAGGCUGAAGAGAAAUUCAAGAUUAUCAGUUCUUGCUAAUAAUUUUCACAGAUAAAAAAUAUCCACUCCAAGGCACCCUUCAAAUAUUUGUCAAGCACAACUUUUUUGCCAUACUUUUCAGGUACUGUACCCAAGGAUUCUAUGAUGCAUAGAUUUACAAUCUUUAAACAGAGUCAGGGACUACAGUAAAAUUCUUGUGUGUGUUUGUGUUAAAAAUGAAUCCUUAAGCAUCUAUUUGUCUUUACUGUAUUUAAGUCAAAAUAUUCCUAAAGUGUAGACAAUGUUUUCCAACUCUAAUGGAAGUAAAUCUUUAAGAUUAAGAAAAAAAGAUGUGAAGGGUAUUUAGGUAUCAAACUGAAAUUCUCAAGGUCUGAGCCUUAAAUGUCUCUUAUAUACUUAUCUGUUAAGCUCAUAUUACCAUACAGGUAAUCCAGAGACCUCACUGCUGUUUUAAUGUCCAACCUAAAUUAUUGAUUCUGCAUUAAUAUCUUUGUACUUCAUGUAUAAAAAAAAAAAAAAAAAAAAAAAAAAAGGCAAUGACAUAAAACAUUAGAUCUGUCCAGAAAAACUAAAAGGAAUAACAAUCUUUUUCUUAAAAUAUUACAAAGAUCCAGAAUAAUUUAUAGAUAGAAAAUAUUUUAGCUUCCUUUUAUUUGUACUUGUUAUGAUAAAUUAUCUUUCAGAAAGACAACCAAUGAAGUGAAGUUGGCAAAAGCAACUUCCUGGUUUCCAGUUAACACUUCUUUUUUUUUUUCAAUGAGGACAUAACACUUGAGCAAAGUUUUUUUCCCUUUCAUAGCAUAUUCUCCUAUCACACAUCUCUAUAAUGUAAAGAAAUAUCAUACCAAGAGACAACAUAGCUUACAGGAUCUGUGGGAAGGGACUAGACCUUUUGUCUAUCUUUGAUUAGCAGGUGGGAGAGAAAUGAAGGAAGAUUAGAAAGUGGGAGAGAGAUGAUGGUUGAAUUUAUACUGAGCCAAAAUUAGACAUAAUAUUUGACUUCAGCAAAUAUAAUUAUUUCCAAUAAUUAGGAGAGUAUUUUGUAUUCAAAGACCUUCUUCUGUUCAAGAAAGAUAACUGUCACGGAGUUACCUAGAUAGAUCUGUGCCCGUGACAGGGGGCCGGUAGGCUUGUGGGCCCCCCUCCCCCUUCACUUCCCGAGAAAAACGAAGCGGUGGCAACAAUCUAAGAAGGAGAACUUAUUUUACUAACUAUG
rnacentral:lncRNA from 1 species